GCGGACGGGUGAGUAACGCGUGGGUAACCUGCCUCAUACAGGGGGAUAACAGUUGGAAACGGCUGCUAAUACCGCAUAAGCGCACAGCAUCGCAUGAUGCAGUGUGAAAAACUCCGGUGGUAUAAGAUGGACCCGCGUUGGAUUAGCUUGUUGGUGAGGUAACGGCCCACCAAGGCGACGAUCCAUAGCCGGCCUGAGAGGGUGAACGGCCACAUUGGGACUGAGACACGGCCCAGACUCC
rnacentral:rRNA from 1 species